CGACCGAGGGCAACAAGGCAGCAAACCUCUUCCCCCUUCCUCGCAUCUCUCUCUCUCAACCGCCUACAGCCCUACAGUACCCCACCCCCACGCCACCAACCCGGACCGAACCUCCCUCUCUAUCUCUCUCUCUGCUCCACCUCCGUCCGACUCCGACCGCAGCCCAACUCCUGCUGACUUCAACAUCCAUCCCCCGCCAUUCGCGCCAGGAUUACUCCUCCCUAGCUCCCUCCCUACUUGUUGCUGAUCCCUCCUCCCCUUCCUAUUCCCCUCCCACCACCACCACCAAUCUAGGCAGCCUCCGCCAAUCAAACAAUAAUGGCGUCGAUCCGCCGGCCGCACUCGCCCGCCAAGCAGCACCUGCUGCGUCACCACCACCCCUUCGCCACGUCCUCCCCGCCCUCCUCGCCGCUCCGCCACUCCUCUACAUCCUCCUCGCCACGCACCCACCACCACCUCGCCGGCGGCUACCCGCACCCCUUCCUCUUCUUCACGCGCCGCCCGCUCCCGCGGUUCGCGGCCUUCUUCCUCCUCGGCUCUUUCCUCGGCCUCCUCCACUUCCUCUCCCACCUCCCCCGCCAGACCCCGCACCUCCGCCCGGCGUCCUCCAGCCCCGCCGUCAUCCCCCGCCACCAGCUCCCCAUCGUCCGCCUCAACAACGACGACGACGACGACAUGAACAACAACAAGCUGCUCGUCGUCGUCACGCCCACGCGCGCGCGCGCCGCGCAGGCGUACUACCUCAGCCGGCUGGGCCACACGCUGCGCCUCGUCGACCCGCCGCUGCUCUGGCUCGUCGUCGAGGCCGGCAACCCCACGCCCGAGGCCGCCGCCGCGCUGCGGGGGACCACCGUCAUGCACCGCUACGUCGGCUGCUGCGACAAGCUCAACGCCUCCUCCUCCGGCGACGCCGACGCGCUCCGCUUCCGCCCGCACCAGAUGAACGCCGCGCUCGAGCUCCUCGAGAACCACCGCCUCGACGCCAUUGUCUAUUUCGCCGACGAGGAGGGCGUCUACUCCCUCGACCUCUUCAAACGUCUGCGCCAAGUCAGGAGGUUCGGCACAUGGCCUGUGCCAGUGAUCUCGGAGGACAGAAAAGAUGGUGUUGGUAUGGUGCUGGAAGGCCCUGUGUGUAAACAGAACCAAGUCGUGGGAUGGCACACAAGCGAGCAUGCCAGCAAGCUCCGUAGAUUUCAUGUCGCUAUGUCGGGUUUCGCAUUCAACAGCACCAUGCUCUGGGACCCCAGACUCCGCUCCCAUUUGGCAUGGAAUUCAAUCCGGCAUUCAGACACAGCGAAACAAGGCUACCAAGCAACCACGUUCGUGGAGCAGCUAGUGGAGGAUGAAAGCCAGAUGGAAGGCAUACCCGCUGACUGCUCCCAAAUAAUGAACUGGCAUGUGCCGGCUGGAUCUGAGAAUCUCGCCUAUCCCAGAGGAUGGCGAGUUGGGACGAAUCUGGAUGUGGUCAUUCCUCUUAAAUAGAAUUCAACAGCUAUGUUCAUCAAAGCAACUGACUCCUUCGACAGGCAUAUACUGUAGAAAUUAAGCCAUGAAGCUUUGGCUUAUAUAGUGCAGAGGAAUCCCAGGUUGACUACAUUGGAGAAGCAGCUCUUCAGAAGGGGAGGAGGCUUUCAGGACGAAAAUUAGUGCAGCAUCAACAAUGAAGCCAGUCAUCUUGCUGCAAAGCCGUGCAUUGUAUAUGUGUUCAUGUUGUGACUCAACCUAUAUUCAUUUGCUGCGAUUCUUCUUGUUCAUGCAAUCGAUUGUAAGCUUCCAGUUUUCGUGUGCCGAGGCAGUCUUGCAUUCCUCAUGAACGUGUAAUGGCUAAUGAGUACACGUAACUCGAGCACGUUUAACGUAGUACAGACCAGGUUUAGAGAAUACUACAAGUGUUACCAUACUACUAGAACGAGAUUACAUGUAUGUUUGAGAAUGCAGUUUUAAGAUAUCAUAGUUUAUAAUUGUA